rnacentral:rRNA from 1 species
GACGAACGCUGGCGGCGUGCUUAACACAUGCAAGUCGAACGGAAAGGCCCUGCUUUUGUGGGGUGCUCGAGUGGCGAACGGGUGAGUAACACGUGAGUAACCUGCCCUGGACUUUGGGAUAACUUCAGGAAACUGGGGCUAAUACGGAAUAGGAGCUCCGGCGGAAGGGGGGGGGUGGGAAGGUUUCGGCGGUUGGGGAUGGACUCGCGGCUUAUCAGCUUGUUGGUGGGGUAGUGGCUUACCAAGGCUUUGACGGGUAGCCGGCCUGAGAGGGUGACCGGCCACAUUGGGACUGAGAUACGGCCCAGACUCCUACGGGAGGCAGCAGUGGGGAAUAUUGCACAAUGGGCGGAAGCCUGAUGCAGCAACGCCGCGUGCGGGAUGACGGCCUUCGGGUUGUAAACCGCUUUCGCCUGUGACGAAGCGUGAGUGACGGUAAUGGGUAAAGAAGCACCGGCUAACUACGUG